AGGAUAGGAUUUUGGUGUGGGAGCUUUUCUAUUCAACUAAGGGAAUUUGUGAUCAUCUUUACGUUUGAUCUUGGAGUGUGAAGAAAAGAUGUUGCAGCUCCCAAGUAUAAAUAGGCCAUGAAGCAUGCAUUGUAAAUUAAUUUCCAGCAAUUUUAUUUGACUUAAAAGGCCAAACAUUAAAUUUGAGUGAUAGUCUAGCUAGUUAGGGUGAUUGUUCACAAAGAAAACCAAAUAGUAAGAGGGGUAAAAGAAAAAUCAGCUAGUGCAUGAAUCUAUAUAUGAGGUAUACCUUAUAUAUGUAUUGACAUGAAUCUAUAGAUACACAAAUAUUUAUAUAUGUAUAUAUAGAUAUAUAUCUACUCAAGCUAAUAAGUAAAGGAAUAUGAUGUUUCCUUUCUUAAGAUCUUGUAAAUGUGUUAGUAAUAUUUAAGAUUAGAAUAGUAUGCAUGAUAAAAGCAAUACUAACACAAAUCUUAAAUUCAAUCACGAGUAUCGAUUGUAUGUAAGAAAUACGGGUUAAGGUAUUUAAGUAGUUUACUUAAAUUCUAAUACUUAAUAAAAAUACCUAUCUUGUAAGUAUGAUACUUGGAGUCAUUGGCUUCUAAAAUGAAUAUUUUAGAUGAUAUUUGGAUUACUAUCUAAGGUUAAAGAGCCUUAGUGUGCUCUAUAAUUUGUGCUAAGUUUCGAGGUACUACAUAGACGCCGCCACGAAAUGGCGAAGCUGCUGCCUGCUUUCAGUCAGUUUUAGGUGAGUUUUGCUCUCUCCUUCUUCUACAGAUGUUUAUACCUCUUUGGUGACCUAAGGAUCAAGUUUGGGCGCCAGAAUUUGCAGAUUUGAAGUUUGGAUUCUGAGUGGUGUUCGGGGCACUUUCCAGCCAAUUUCAGCCAAACUGGUUGAAACCUCAGGUAUUAAAGUUGUUCAUCUUGCUCUAAUUUACAAGUUUAUUGUUGGGAGUUUCCCCAAAUUUUGAAGUUGGUGGCGGCGUGUGGGGCCCACUCGCCGCCAUCUGUGGUUCGUGGACACGCGUCUAGGCAGUAUGAGUGGGUUUGGUUGCUGUGUUAGCUAGUUUGUGUAGUUGUGAGUGUGUUGUUGUGUGAUAAGGCUAAGUGUUGAUUAGGUAGUGCAUCUUAUGUGCUAUGUUAAUCAUUGUUGUUUGUUAGGUUGUAAACUUUGAAAGUUUGAACUUGGAGGCAGCAUGGAUAGGUUGUUGAGUGUCCGACGACCUUGGGAGGUCUCGGAAGAAGGAUUGUCCUCCUUUGGGCAACCUUUAGGCUAAUGUUUGGUUAAGGGUGCUUUGAUCUUUUGUUGAGUAGCUUCUAAGGAUGACUUUGUGUUAUUUAGGAACUUGUGGAGUCAAUUUUGAGCUUGGCUCUUGUGUUGUUAUUGAAAACGCAACGAGAGUAUUUAGAUGAGUAAAUCUCACCAAGGUUCACAUUUGGACCAAAUUAUUAUGGUCAUUUUGAUGAUGAUGUUGAAUUAAAGAAUAUGCUGUUGUUUGUUUUUAAAUAUAUAAGUUUGAUCGUCAAUGGCUCAUAGGUAAAGAUAAAAUAAGUUUUCCUAUUAUAUGAUUAUUUUUAAUGUUCAUGUGAUCAUAAUAUUGUUGGUUCUUGAUAAAUUAUUCUUGUGGGAAUAUCUAUGUUUGUUCAUAUAAAUAUAUCUAUGUGGAAUAAUAUAAUUUUUAUGAUGUGCUCUUUGUGUUGUUGAUGAUGAUAUUAUUAUGUUGUGAUUCGUUGUUUAGAUAGUCAAACCGGGUUCCAAGCCUUUAAUCGGGUGAUUGGCUGCGGUUACGAUGAUUCUACUCUAUUGUGAAUUGUUGUUUAGAUAGUUAAACCGGGUUUCAAGCAAGCCUUUAACUGGUGAUUGGUUACGGUUAUGAUGCUAUUAUUAUUUUGUGAUUUGAUAUUGAACAGUCAAACUGGGUUUCAAGUCUUUGGCCGGGUGAUUGGUUAUGGUUAGGAAAAGAGCUCUAGUCCGUCUGUCGGUGUAGGUCAUGAGAGGUACCUUAAGGUAUCUGGGACUCAUGGGUACAUAAAUUGUUGUAGGCCAUGAGAGGUACUUAUUAGUAUUUGAGACUCAUGUGUACAUGUAUUUGUUGUAGGUCAUGGGAGAUACAUUAUUGGUAUCUGAGACUCAUGGGUACAUGUUAUUUGUAAAAUUGUUGGAUUUGUGGAAUUAAUUAUUGUUCUUAAUUGUUUAUGUGUUUUAUUUGGAUGUUAGAAAUAUUGAGUUAUUUUUUGGAGUUACUCAUUCAGAUUUUUUAGCUUACUGGGCCGGUGCACCAAUUCAUACUGUAGGGGUUAAACCUGCAGGUAAUGAUCAUCAGGGUUGAGGCAGAGACAUAACAGCUGGGUUUUAGAUGAUGUAUAUUUAUUUGUAUAUUAUGACAAUUGUUUUUAAGCUCAUGUGAGCGACUUUAUUUUACUAAAUUUUUGAAGUUGAUGUAAUUAAUGAUAUAUAAUGUUUAACUCAGUUGAUGAGUUAAAGUGUUGAAAUUUACAUUUCCAGCAUUCAAAUUUAGUCUGGAAGUUGUUGAACAGGUUUUGGGGGUGAUUUUUUGAGUUAUAUCAUACCCAAAUUUUGAAAAUUAUCCUUCGAAAAUUGGGGUGUGACAAUUUGGUAUCAUAGCGUAGGUUUGCAUAUUUGGUGAUAAUCAGUACUUUGGAGUGAUGACCCGACUGCAGCGGAUCACCAUUAUAUGCUCUUCGGUACUGAUAUGUCAUUGGGUAUGCUGGAGUAGGGUGUUGUCUUGAGCAUUAGGUUGCUAGGAUAUAGGUUGCCUCAGUAGUUGAAGUGCGGGAGACUUGAGUAAGAUGUUUUGAGUUUUAGUCUUUAAGGAAUAAGAACCUUUAGAUUGAACUUUGGUUUGACUUCACAGAUUUUGAUUGUGGAAGUCUGUGUGGUUUUGAUGACAUGGUCAUUACGUCUGUUGUUUGUGAUUUAAACUUUUGUUCAAGUCUUAUGCAAGUGUUAACUUAGUGUUGUUUUGCUUCACAAAUGAUGGUCCUCUUGGGGGGUUAAUUUGGGAAAUCAGAGGAUGAUUUUCCACUUAAAGAAUUCUAUUUUAGGAAUGGGAAAAAGAACAACCCCCUCUGCCUAUUAUCAAGGCAGUGAACCCGCCUCAUCUAGUGAGGUUAAUUUGGGAGAUUACAAGACUUAGGGUGGUGACCUUGACGGGUAGUACAAAUUGUUCACUGAUUUGUGGAUCGAUGACAUGUAAACCUACUUAUGUGGUCAAUUGUACUGGCAUUAGAAUAAGAGAUGAUUGUGUUCUCUUAAGGGUAUGGUUCAGACGGUGGUGGAAUUUUGUGCCAAGGUCUAAGGGUAUGUUAUCCAUGUCACAUGAGGGUGUUUACAUAACUCUUCUAGAAGCAUACGCCUAUUUGUGGUGUGGUCAAUUGUACUGGCAUUGGAAUAGGAGAUGAUUGUGUUCUCUUAAGGGUAUGGUUCAGACGGUGGUGGAAUUUUGUGCCAAGGUCUAAGGGUAUGUUCUCCAUGUCACAAGAGGGUUUGCAUAACUUUUCUAGAAGCAUACGCCUAUUUGUUUUAACGUUGGGGAUUAACUUUGUUACUCUGGUUUAGAGGACUAAGAUUAUUGAGAUUUGUAGUUGGGUAUUUAGUAUUGCUAAUGAUCAUUUAUUAAUAUUGUGUUUCAUGUUAAAUUACUGUGAUUCUAAUUCGAUUAUUUUUUUACCACAUUUUUUUAUUUUCUGCUGGUCUGGGCUGGUCUAAAUAUACCCGGUCUGGUCUCGGUCCCCAAUUUUGAGAAAGACUUCAAGCCCGAAAGCCCGAUCUAGGUAUGUGUCACUCAACAACAAUUGGAUAAUUUUAGCAGUUCUACGUUAGUCAAAUAUGACUCAAGUCAAACCCUGAACUCAAAACACUCAGACUCGACUUGAAACGCGCACAGACGCUCCUCUACCUCUCGACGCCGCCUGCGCCUCUGCUUCUCGACGCCGCCUGCGUGCCUCUCGAUCGCGAGUCUCGACGCCGCCUGCGCACCUCUCUAACGCGAGGCUCUCUUCAUCUCUUCCUCUCAACGUGACGCCUCAGUCCUCACCAGAAACCAAAUCGCCCACCUCCUCCGGUAAGCCUUCUGAUCAUUCAAUCAUUCCCUAUUCGCUUCAGUUUAAAUCGAUUGUGAUUGUGGUUUUACUGGUUUUCCAAUCGAUUCAUUUUUUUGGUUGUUGUUGUUGUUACUUGUUAUAAUGCAUAGCUAUUAACUCGAUUUCGUCUGUUACUGUUGCGUAGUAAAUCCUAAUUUAUGCUGCUGGUUGUGUACUUGUGGCAGGUUUGAUGUCGACGUCUUCUUCACAAUACGGCUGUCAUUCUACCCUAUAAUAAAAGAGCAAAAACCCUGUGUUUGUUACAUGGGAUUAAGGGGGUUUGGACUAACUUCUGUAAGAAACUAUGACUUGUCCUACGUUUGGUGAAGCAAGGGACUCAAUUAAAUAAGCAUACGCUGUCCCCGUGUUCGCUGCCGACCUGCUUACACAGAGACACCAAAUUUGGGGCGCAACGCAUUCGUCUCUUCUCAGUCGUUCUUCCUCGUUGCAUCCACUUGCUUUGCUUUAACUCGCUGCUCCAGGUGUGAUUUCUCUCUCUCUCUC
rnacentral:lncRNA from 1 species